GUGGGUAACCUACCCUGUACACACGGAUAACAUACCGAAAGGUAUGCUAAUACGGGAUAAUAUAUUUGAGAGGCAUCUCUUGAAUAUCAAAGGUGAGCCAGUACAGGAUGGACCCGCGUCUGAUUAGCUAGUUGGUAAGGUAACGGCUUACCAAGGCGACGAGCAGUAGCCGACCGGAGAGGGAGAGCGGCCACAUUGGAACUGAGACACGGUCCAAACUCCUACGGGAGGCAGCAGUGGUGAAGAUUGCACAAUGGGCGAAAGCCUGAUGCAGCAACGCCGCGUGAGUGAUGAAGGCCUUCG
rnacentral:rRNA from 1 species